AAGCACAAGACCGUAGGUGUGCAGCUGGAUGGAUGCUUGCAUGUCUCUACCCCUGUAACCACCACCUUGAUCAAGAUACAGAACAUUUUCAUCAUGUAUGAAGAUUCCCUUGUGAUUCUUACCAGAAAAUACCCCUCAACCAAAGAUAAUACUGCCAUACUGCAUUCCCUCUGGAAGGAAAGCAAACCAAACCAAACCAAACUCACUCAAAACCACAGUGCUGUUAUCGGAUAAGUAGAUGUCAAUGUAUACUUACAAGGAAAAACUAAAAAAGGUAAUGUGUUAAUUCAGCCUUUUUCUAUGUAAUAUUUCCAAGUCAGAUUUUCUUACAUUCCUGGAAUUUAGUUUGAUAUACC
rnacentral:lncRNA from 1 species